GAUGAAGAACGCAGCGAAAUGCGAUAAGUAAUGUGAAUUGCAGAAUUCAGUGAAUCAUCGAAUCUUUGAACGCACUUUGCGCCCUUUGGCCAUUCCGAAGGGCAUGCCUGUUUGAGUAUCAUGAACACCUCAACUCUUCAUGGUUUUCCGUGAUGAGCUUGGACUUUGGGGGUCUUGCUGGCCUAUGGUCAGCUCCUCUAAAAUAAAUCAGCUUGCCAGUGUUUGGUGGGUAUCACAGGUGUGAUAACUAUCUACGCUUGUGGUUUUCCACCAGGUAACCUUCAGCAGUGGAGGUUCGCUGGAGCUCACAGAUGUGUCUCUCCUCAGUGAGGACAGCUCUUUGAAUGUUUGAUCUCAAAUCAGGUAGGACUACCCGCUGAACUUACGCAUAUCAAUAAGCGGAGGA
rnacentral:misc_RNA from 1 species